rnacentral:rRNA from 1 species
UACGUAGGGUGCAAGCGUUGUCCGGAAUUAUUGGGCGUAAAGAGCUCGUAGGCGGUCUGUCGCGUCUGCUGUGAAAACUCAGGGCUUAACCCUGAGCUUGCAGUGGGUACGGGCAGACUAGAGUGCGGUAGGGGAGACUGGAAUUCCUGGUGUAGCGGUGAAAUGCGCAGAUAUCAGGGAGGAACACCGGUGGCGAAGGCGGGGUCUCUGGGCCGUAACUGACGCUGGAGGAGCGAAAAGCAUGGGGAGCGAACAGGG